GGCCGCCCGUGAAUCGGCGAGAAGUCCAUUGAACCUUAUCAUUUAGAGGAAGGAGAAGUCGUAACAAGGUUUCCGUAGGUGAACCUGCGGAAGGAUCAUUG
rnacentral:rRNA from 1 species